rnacentral:misc_RNA from 1 species
GCCGUCAACUUCAAAAUAUAAAAUUUGAGCUACCUCUUAGAGUGAGACUAUAAGGUAAAGAGAAAAAAACAAUAAAUUCAUUAAGACCUAAAAGGAUACAGUACCUACGCCCCAAAAAGAAUGCAAUUUUCCUUGCAUAAUACAAUUAAAUAGAACAUAAAACCCCAGAUGAAGAAGGAAAGGAAAUGAGCUAUAACGUCAAUUCCAAGAUGAUACCU